CUAAGUUUGAUGGCGACCGGCGCACGGGUGAGUAACACGUAUCCAACCUGCCGAUGACUCGGGGAUAGCCUUUCGAAAGAAAGAUUAAUACCCGAUGGCAUAGUUCUUCCGCAUGGUAGAACUAUUAAAGGAUUUCGGUCAUCGAUGGGGAUGCGUUCCAUUAGGUUGUUGGCGGGGUAACGGCCCACCAAGCCUUCGAUGGAUAGGGGUUCUGAGAGGAAGGUCCCCCACAUUGGAACUGAGACACGGUCCAAACUCCUACGGAGGCAGCAUG
rnacentral:rRNA from 1 species